ACUCGAAGCCAGAGGGCGCUCUCGUACGGAAAUCCAAAAGAGACUCAUAUGAUAGAAGUAACUUUUGACGCCAGGAAUCAUAAACCUGCUUACUGACCUGACUGAGGACGAAGGCGAAUGAUUUGCAGAUCCUCAGCACCACUGACAGACAUCUAAUCUUGUGAAAUGUGUGCAGAAGCAGCACCACAAGACUGCAGCUACGAUCAACAGAGAUCCAGCAGCAGCAGAAAUCAGCACGAUGUACAGUAAAGGUCAUAUUUUCCUGUUCUUUGCCUUUACUGCUGCAGUUGGCACGUCAAAUACCAGAAAGCAGAACAAACAUGUCCCACUUCAUUGCUGUUGCUAUGUCUGACAAGCCAUGAUGAAAAAUACAUCACAGAACAAAGAGGAAACUGGCAGCACACCAGCAGGCAUGAUAGAGCAGGUUACUCUAGAAGUCUGAGAUCUACUAGUGAGAAACACCUUGUGGUGCCAUCAUAGAAAGGCACAACAUCACAUUCCAGAACAUUCUCGUUCACCGUUCCUGGCUGGUGGGGUGAUCUUCCCAAUCCUAUCCAGAUUGCUGAUUCCCGACAAUUUUCAAGUGACAUCUGAAAACUCAUCUCUUUCAUCAUUCCUAACGUCAUCUUUAAAAAAAAACCACACCUUUGCUUGACUUUACUUAUUCUCCUGUCUAGCUCGUACUAUUUGAAAAAUCCCUGAAACUUGGUAUUAUCAGUACUUCCUGUGUCUGUUUACCUCUUUAAUGCGAAUCGUUUGAUGUAUUCCCCAAUUGUAUAUUGCUUUGGAUAAAAGGGUCUGCUAAAUGAAUAAAUCUAAAUGUAAACAUCUUUAAUGUGUUGGGAAAGAUUGCUGUAACGCCUGAAUUGCGGAGAGAUGGCAAUAUACACAAUUUUUCAAGUUCAGGUCGACUAAUAUUAAUC